rnacentral:RNase_P_RNA from 1 species
CAGGCCGGGCAGACAGCCGCCGCGCAGCGCGUAAGGCCUGCGGGGAGGAAAGUCCGGGCUACACAGGGCAGGAUGCCGGCUAACGGCCGGGCGUGGCAACACGACGGAAAGUGGAACAGAGAGCAGAACCGCCGAUGGUUCCGAGAUACUGCCGCCAGCCUUUUGCGUUAUGCAAGGCGGCGUGCCGCAGACAGUACAGAUAGUACGGCAAGGCACGCCAACACCGCAGAGCGCAAAAGGCUGGCGGUAGGGAGCACAGGCAAGGGUGAAAAGGUGCGGUAAGAGCGCACCGUGCACUUGGUAACAAGGCGCAGCAGGCCAAACCCCAUCCGUAGCAAGACCAAACAGAACGCACAGACGCGGCCCGCCGAGCGUUCGGGUAGGUUGCUGGAGCACAUCAGUAAUGGUGUGCCUAGAGGAAUGGCUGUCCGCGACAGAACCCGGCUUACCGCCCGACCUGUAUG